CUCGACACCCAGCAUGUAUACUGCCGUUGUAAGCAUACCCCUAAAGGAAAGUGUGCAAUUAUGACUAUUAAUUAACUCAUGUACAUCAGGUCAAAGUGCAGCUAAUAAGAAGGCGAUGAUGGGUUACAACCCCAAGAUAGAUAUCAAUUAAGAAAUAAAAAAUCUUGUAAAAGUGGACUUGGCCGUAAUCAACUUACAAGUAAAAGAGAUGAAUAAACAUCUAAGACAUGUACACAUCGCCCGUCACUCUAUCCUAAAGGUUAGACAAGUCGUAACAAAGUAGGCGUAAUGGAAAUUGCGCCUGUCGAAAUAUAGCAUAUAAAAUGCUCUUUACUUACACUAAAUACAAAGUUAAACAACUUAUUUCGCCCGCAAAACAAAACCCUAUAAAUCACAUACUAAUAAAAACAACUAAAUAACAUAUAACCCCUAAAUAAGUACAGAAAUGGAAACAAUAACACAUAAAAGUAAAUUUUAAUAAUUGUACCUUGUGCAUUAUGGUUUUACAAGAAAAUAAUUAAAUAUAACAAUCCCGAAUUCUUCAUGAGAUGUUAAACUGCUGUUAAGAACCCACUAAUAACUGUAUAAAAAGUUUUAAAAGACAGUUUAACAGAGGCUACAUACCAUCCGCAUAAGAAUAUAGCUGGUUUUUAACAAACAUUAUACAUUAAAACAUAUAAUUAUAUUAUAGUGUAAUACUAUUGAGGACAAGCCCAAUAGUUUAAAGCAAUUUCAAUAACAAGUCCACAAUACUUCAUAGGCCUAAAAUCAACCACUAAAAAUACUUUACCGUAGUAAACAAAGACAAAAUAUAUUAAUAAAUUAUGCAAAAUAAAGUUAAAAAAGUGGGUCAAUUUUCUAACCCCCUAUUAAUAUGUAAAAAUAAGUAUUAAGUAAUAUUAUCUCAACUACUAACAACUAAUACAUAAAAAUAAUAUAAUAACUAAUUAAGGAACUCGGCAAACCCUUAUUUCGACUGUUUAACAAAAACAUUGUCUCAUGAAAACAAAUAUGAGA
rnacentral:rRNA from 1 species